rnacentral:rRNA from 1 species
UACGAAGGGGCUAGCGUUGCUCGGAAUCACUGGGCGUAAAGGGUGCGUAGGCGGGUCUUUAAGUCAGGGGUGAAAUCCUGGAGCUCAACUCCAGAACUGCCUUUGAUACUGAAGAUCUUGAGUUCGGGAGAGGUGAGUGGAACUGCGAGUGUAGAGGUGAAAUUCGUAGAUAUUCGCAAGACACCAGUGGUGAAGGCGGCUCAACUGGCCCGAGUACUGACGCUGAUGCACGAAAGCGUGGGGAUCAAACAGGA